rnacentral:lncRNA from 1 species
GAUCAAUGGGGCUGAGUUUUGAGUAAGGAGUUGCUGCUCUGUUUUGUUGAAACCAUCUCCAAAACCUCUUUUCAUUUAGGGCAAACCCUAACGUGGGGAAGCAGUGUGUGGAAAACAAAGAGGAGGGAGAAGUCUGACCUCACUGAGGGUGUCACCAUUCCCUACCAGCCUUUUACAUACAUGUCCUUCUAUACCUGCCAUCCUUCAGCCUCUGCUCAAAUGUCAGCCCUUCUGCAGAGCCUUCUCUGGUGAGUUAAAUUCCAGUGUCUGUGCUCUUGUGGUUAACCGUGUUCGAUUUACCCCUCCGUCUCUGCCAUACAAGAGAGCGUGUCCUGGAGAUUAGAGGCCAUGUUAUAGUUGUGUGAAUAUUUUUACCACCUAGGAUCAUGGCUACUAUAGAAUAUGUUUUCAGUGAAUAGAUUAAUGCUAAGUGAGAUUUCAGGAACUUAACGGAAUAAAAAAUGAAUUGAGGAAAUGUCGCUUUUAAAG